CUUGGACUAACUGCACCUCCCUCUCUGGGUGCCCUUCCCAAGAACAAAUGAAAGUUGUUCCUACCCAACACUUUGAAACUGAGAGGUUCCCAAACCAUGGCGAAGAUCCCCGACAGCCUUCUUUAUGUCUUUUGGAGCCUGUACACUUUUAUUGUUCAGCUUUGAAUAGAGAGUCUUAGAGAAGAGUUAGUUCUCCAGACUCGCUACAAACUUUUAUAGCUUUACCAACCAUAAUGGGUCAAGGGCGAGGAGUGCUGUUUUGGCCACGAAGGUGCCGAUUUCAAACCAGAAUCUCGUUAUUUUCUCUUUGAUUUUUGAAAAACAAAGAGUUCUGGUGAGGAACUGCAUGUAAAAAAGAGAUGAGGAUUAACGAAGAAGCGAAGAGGAGGUCUUUUUUUGCUUACGUGGAACGGAAGAAAAAAUGAAGCAGCUGCUUGUGGAAACAUGGAAGGUCUCCAGUAUAAUGAAUAAUAAGGAUAAUUUCAGCUAUAUUUUCAGAGAUCGGAACAGUAUUUAUAUGCAAAUACUAUCUCAGAAGGUAGUGGAAAAAUCAGUUUUCCUAACAUUGGCUGGAAAACAGAAUUUGCAGUUCUGGAAGACUUGAGAUUUCUAUAGGAACCAAAUGAGAUGAAGUAGAAAGACUUAACAGAGGUGAUUAAAAAGAGCUUAUUUUGUGCUGAAAGCAAACUUUCUAGCCGAAGGACAUUAAUUACGUAGGGAGCAAAUGGCUUUCUAGCGAGUUUAAAGGUGUCAGCUGCCUGCAGGGGUUAAGCCACAACAAAACCAUGCCAGUAUCUGCCCUUAAUAAUUCUGUGUAAGAAAGCCUUAGAGAGCUGAGCUAGCACAGCCUUGGAGGAACCACAGAUGAUGCACCUGAUCUGGUGUAAAUCAAGCUUACCCUACCUGAAUUUUGGAGUCCUGUUAAUAUUGGAAUGCACACAAAAGAAACCUUACUUCAUAAAUCAAGAAAGAGCCUUCCCCAUUUUCUCUUGUUUUGAAGAAAGGCUGGAGGUCGGUGGUGUGGGCAGAACACUUCAACCACGCUGUCUGAUGUAUGGGAAUUUUAAACAACGGGAGCUAAAGAAAAGCUUUGAUCUACACUCCUGCCUGAUAUCUAAUGAGGCAUUUUCAUCAAACUCUGCUCCUGACCGAACUCAUGUUAAUCUCAGCAAGAUUCACAUAGACAGAUAUUCUUGUGUUUCUGGAUAG
rnacentral:lncRNA from 1 species